rnacentral:rRNA from 1 species
UACGUAGGGUGCGAGCGUUAAUCGGAAUUACUGGGCGUAAAGCGUGCGCAGGCGGCUUCGCAAGUCAGACGUGAAAUCCCCGGGCUUAACCUGGGAAUGGCGUUUGAAACUACGGAGCUGGAGUGUGGCAGAGGGAGGUAGAAUUCCACGCGUAGCGGUGAGAUGCGUAGAUAUGUGGAGGAAUACCGAUGGCGAAGGCAGCCUCCUGGGCCAACACUGACGCUCAUGCACGAAAGCGUGGGGAGCAAACAGG